GCGCCAUUAGCUCAGUUGGUAGAGCAGUUGACUCUUAAUCAAAAGGUCCCCAGUUCGAGCCUGGGAUGGCGCACCA
rnacentral:tRNA from 1 species